rnacentral:rRNA from 1 species
AGAGUUUGAUCCUGGCUCAGAGCGAACGCUGGCGGCAGGCUUAACACAUGCAAGUCGAGCGGGCGUAGCAAUACGUCAGCGGCAGACGGGUGAGUAACGCGUGGGAACGUACCUUUUGGUUCGGAACAACACAGGGAAACUUGUGCUAAUACCGGAUAAGCCCUUACGGGGAAAGAUUUAUCGCCGAAAGAUCGGCCCGCGUCUGAUUAGCUAGUUGGUGAGGUAAUGGCUCACCAAGGCGACGAUCAGUAGCUGGUCUGAGAGGAUGAUCAGCCACAUUGGGACUGAGACACGGCCCAAACUCCUACGGGAGGCAGCAGUGGGGAAUAUUGGACAAUGGGCGCAAGCCUGAUCCAGCCAUGCCGCGUGAGUGAUGAAGGCCCUAGGGUUG